rnacentral:rRNA from 1 species
UACAGGCUUAACACAUGCAAGUCGAGGGGAAACGACAUCGAAAGCUUGCUUUUGAUGGGCGUCGACCGGCGCACGGGUGAGUAACGCGUAUCCAACCUGCCCACCACUUGGGGAUAACCUUGCGAAAGUAAGACUAAUACCCAAUGAUAUCUCUAGAAGACAUCUGAAAGAGAUUAAAGAUUUAUCGGUGAUGGAUGGGGAUGCGUCUGAUUAGCUUGUUGGCGGGGUAACGGCCCACCAAGGCGACGAUCAGUAGGGGUUCUGAGAGGAAGGUCCCCCACAUUGGAACUGAGACACGGUCCAAACUCCUACGGGAGGCAGCAGUGAGGAAUAUUGGUCAAUGGACGAGAGUCUGAACCAGCCAAGUAGCGUGCAGGAUGACGGCCCUAUGGGUUGUAAACUGCUUUUAUAAGGGAAUAAAGUGAGUCUCGUGAGACUUUUUGCAUGUACCUUAUGAAUAAGGACCGGCUAAUUCCGUGCCAGCAGCCGCGGUAAUACGGAAGGUCCGGGCGUUAUCCGGAUUUAUUGGGUUUAAAGGGAGCGUAGGCCGGAGAUUAAGCGUGUUGUGAAAUGUAGACGCUCAACGUCUGCACUGCAGCGCGAACUGGUUUCCUUGAGUACGCACAAAGUGGGCGGAAUUCGUGGUGUAGCGGUGAAAUGCUUAGAUAUCACGAAGAACUCCGAUUGCGAAGGCAGCUCACUGGAGCGCAACUGACGCUGAAGCUCGAAAGUGCGGGUAUCGAACAGGAUUAGAUACCCUGGUAGUCCGCACGGUAAACGAUGGAUGCCCGCUGUUAGUCUGAAUAGGUCAGCGGCCAAGCGAAAGCAUUAAGCAUCCCACCUGGGGAGUACGCCGGCAACGGUGAAACUCAAAGGAAUUGACGG